rnacentral:lncRNA from 1 species
GCGCAGUGGGCUGAAAAUGACAAGUGAUAUCGGGUGGUGGGUUCGUCGGCCUGCGACGUGCUCCGUCAGAUCACUGCAGCUACUUGGCGACUGAUGCUGUUGAUUUCUUGUGGUUUUCGAGUUUUAGCUUGGACCGCUACCCUUUCUUGUGGUCUCGAGCAUAAUUUAUCGCCUUUUUGGUUGAAUAGCUCAAUAUAAUUACGACGCCAUAACCGAAGGAACGGAAGACCUUGGUGCUGAAGGCAUACACCAGGCCAGAAUUCUACCUGGAAGCAUGUAUGCGUCAAGGGUUUGUCGCCGACUCCUUCAGCAUGAAGAACCUACCCGGGUCAGCAACGCUCCACACAAACAGUACCAACUGAGCCAACAACUAUAGUACUAGCAAAUCUCCAGCGAAUCCCCUGUCACACCCGGGUUUUAGGGGUCCAAAGCUCGGGCGCGAACAUAAUCACCAGGUGUGCUGAGACCAAGUCUCACACAUAUGAUGAAUCAUGGCACAUGAUCGAAUGUCACAUCUGUACUAUAUAAUCGGAGUUCUGUACAAAAUAAAUAAAUAAUUACAUUAUAUGGAGACAACGGUCCAGCAACCCGAAGUUGACUGGGAGACGACGACCUAGACCUCUCACGAACUCGUCACAGCAUCCUUCAUGCGCCUCAUCCUGUGGUACCUGUUCUUGACCUGUGGGGGGUGUGAGACAGCAAGAGUGAGCUCACAUACGUUCAUCGCUCAACAAGUUGUGGGGAAUAAUGUGCAUGAACUCGCCAAAGGUGGGAGCUCAUGUGAAGUGUAAGGCUUACCAAAGAGGAUGGUUGAAGCUGAGCAUUGCUUUUAAAGUUGGUCAAAAUUUUAUUAGCAAUUACUAAGUAUAAGUAAAUACCAAACUCAGUUAAGUAGUAGAACAAAAGUAAUAACAUCACCUGCGAUGCAAUGCAUAUGACAAAUUGAGUUUAAGUUCCAUAAUUUAAUCAUGUGAGUAUCCGAGCUGCUCAUGACCGUGAGCACGGCUAGUAUUUCAGUUUUACACUCUGCAGAGGUUGCACAUCUUUACCCACAAGUCAUGUUACCCAUCUGCCAAGGGAUCGCGACUUCCCAUACACCUCUACCGAGGAGGCGAGGCAGGGUAACACUACGAGGCCUUUACAAAGUUCCACUAGCUUCAGAAAACCCGCUACAGUUUAUAGGAAGCUCCAAUGCAGGAAUCCCUUGCAGGACCGCCAUCGCAGCAAAAUCCUCCCGAGGGCCUCCCUACACUGACCACUCCCCUACUGCCCUUGCCCCUUUCGGGUAAGGUAGUCUUCCACUAGCUUUCCUAAUUAAUCGGUCAAGGGCGUCCCAUUAAACCCUUGUGGUAGCACUGUUUUCCCGGGUGGUUCUCCAUGUUCCAAUUAACAUAAUGAUCUUAACAUGAACAAUAAAUAACAACUGAUAACAAAAGUAUAAUCAUGAGUAAUGUAUCUUCAUACCCAAAACCACAUAAAGCACUAGCAAGUACUACCCAAAAAGUUCAGUGGUAACAAGGUAUAAAGAUAAUCAAACUAGGGUAACCUAUUGGGUCCCAUCAAAAUUAACCUAUGCAGAUCAUUAUGAUUAAUUAGAACAUGAGUGGGUAAAAAGAAGUGAUCAAGGGCACAACUUGCCUGGGACUUGAGAUUCCAGGUACCAGGAUGAUCUUCAGAUGACACGUCCUCCCCGCUAAACGUAGCAAUACAGACAUACAUGGUAUAGGCAAAAUUAACAUCACACCAAACAUAAGAACAACAUACAUAAUAAUAAUCUACGCGUCGUUACGAGAUCGUGGGUUCGAGAACCGCUAAAUUCGGAACUACGGUUAUUAAGUUAUGAAUUUCCAAAAUUAUUUAGUGCUUAGAAUAGUUUAAUCCAAAUGAACAAUUUUAAUUCAAGUUUUGUGGCUAAACAAAGGUACUAGGUAAUAAAUAAUACUUAAACAAAAUUAAUGCCACUGGAAUGAAUCAAUUUGGAGCUAAAUUCACCAAGUUAGGGCUUGUUCGGUUUUACCCCAAUCCAUAUGGAUUGAGGGGGAUUGAAGGGGUUUCAAUCUACAAUAAGUCAAAAUCCCCUCCAAUCCGUAUCAAUCCCCUCCAAUCCAUAUGGAUUGAAAAUAACCGAACAAGCCCUUAUGAAUUUCUUAAGUUUGGGACAUUAUUUUGCAUUAAAAAGAAUUUCUGUAUUAAAUUUAAUAAAUUUCUGAGUUACUUGGACUGCGGCCACUAUUUAAUAGAAAUCCAGGGGGUUCUGCGCAAAAGACACCAAGACUCAGAACUCCCGCAGUUUGGACUGCGGGUUGUUUUCUGUAAAUCCUAGGGGUUCUUUAGCAAGAUUGACUCGGCUGAAGGGCUACGGGCGAUUCUCGGCCGUUGGAUCACCAGCCGAGGGCUCAGAUUAGAUCACUACAUCAACCGAAGCGGUAUGCAUCGUCAGCCGCUGAAUCCUAUAUCUACGGCUCGGAUUUUAUUACCCUAGAUCCAAUCCUGUCCGUUGAAACUAGAUCAAUGGACCAGAUUGAAUCAACGCGAAAGGGUACACGGGGACUAAUCCCAGCCGUCCACCAACAAAUUAACGGCUGAUGGCCCUUCUUCCCCACCCGAACACCCAGCCGCGAUGGCAGGCCCUCCCCGCGGUGGAGCUCACCCGCGAGCUGAAAUUCCACCAUCAUCGGGCACUAAACCAAAAUCAAACUGGUGCUACGCGAUUAGGGGUGAAUGCAGAACAUCCAAGAAGGCGAAUUACCUUCGGGGGUGAGGCAGGGACCCAGGCCCACGGCGCACCGCAGCUCCGUCGUGGAUCUUGGACCCGACGAGAAAUUGGACGCCGAUGCUCCCUGGAAUUCCCCUCGAAGGCUCACUGGUCGCAAGCGCUUGCCCCGGCGGACCUCGCAGACCCCACGACCGAGCAACGAGGGCGCACACUGUGAAUUUGGAUUGCGGCGGCUGUCCACGGUUGCAAGCUUCUCACCCACUUGCUGAACUCUACUACUCUGUCUAUGCUAGGGCUAUACGAUGGCGGCGCCGAGGGGGUCGAUUGAGGGACGAGGCAUCGUCGGGUUAUAUACCCAGGCGAAUUCGGUCAGCGGCCGUACCGCGGAGUUCGGCAUGACCGCCCAAGCCGCGUCGUUCGGAGGUUGUUGAUGACCCCGCGCGCUCGUUGGCUGACAUCUUGGACCCACGCGACAGUGGACGGAAGAAAAGGAUGAGCGCGAGACUGCGGCUGAUGCAUGGGCCCAUAAAGACAGUGGCAGUGAGGGCGAGCGCGACCUGGAGUGGGUUGGCUGACGCGGAGGGCCCGCGUGUCAGUGGAUCGCCCGGCGCGUGGGGGGGGGCUGAAAUGGCUAGUUGGGCCAGAAUGGUGUUGUUUGGCCCAAUAGCACAGUUUUGUUUUAUCCUUUUCUUUUCCAUUUCUUUUUCUCCAUUUUCAAAUUCAAUUUGAAUUCAAGUUUCAAAUCAAACUUAGGCCAAAUUUAUUUCCAAAUCAUAUUGUGAAAUUAAAAUACAAGUUUUUAGAGAUAUACUUAUAUUAUUUAUAUUUUUUAUAUCAUUUCUCUUCUUCUCAUUUUCAAAAACCCUAGGUUUAAUUUAGGGCUUAAUUCAACUUCUAGCAAUUAUUAUCUUAUUACCAUUAACAUUAUUAUUUUAUUUAAUGCACAAACAUAUAAACUCCAACAUGAUGCAUUUUUUUGUCAUUUGUUUGAAUUAAACUCUAAAUUUUUGUGUAUGCUCUUUUUAUGAUGCAAAUGAGGCACAUCAAAUAAGGAAAACACUAUAUAUUCCUUGUACACAAUUUUGAGUAUUACAAAUCCUACCCCCCUUAAAAAUAAUCUCGUCCUCGAGAUUUGUAAGAAAAGAGUAUAACCAUGUUAUCUCAAAACAUAUGCACAAACAAAAUCUCAGCAUAAUGCAUAAUUUACUAGCAACACAUGGGGUCAAUUAGACCUUAUUAUUCCUAAAAUAGCAAAAUACUAACUACUAACUAAAGUAAUAUUUAGAUCUUACAAAUAGUAGUAACGUAUAUAUAUGUUUAUGUAGCUUGGUGGAGCUGGUGGUUAGAAAAGCAUGGGUGUAUAUAUGUAUGUCCACUUUAUUAUGUAGGAUAGAAGAUGCUUUUAAAGCAUAGAUAGGUUUGGGCAAGAAAGGAUAGGGUAAGGAAAUACUCCAUCCAAGAUUGUGGAUCUUGAUUCCUUCGAAGAUCUGGCUUGAAUCUUAUCCUUCCUUGAUUUGAUGAAGUCGAUCAUCUUCAAUCUUCGUUCUCGAAGUUGUUAUCCGAAUUUGGGACAUGUAGUGAAGGCAGAUUCUUAGGUAAACAAAAUAGGUUAAUAGGUGGUUAUAAGUUAGAUAAGGUUAAGCAGAGUCUAUCUUGUUGUUUUGCUUCUAGAUUGGUUGGAUAAGUUAUGUAACCUGUUAUAUCGGUCAAGUUUGGUGUUAUCAUCAAGGAUAAUGGGUAUCGGUGUUACCAUAACUAGGGACAUAGUUGAGAUAGGUGUGGGUACAUGGGGUAGGUAGAUUGAACCAAGUUUUUUUGCUUAUAAGAUAAAUGGGUUGGGCAUCCUAUAAUAUAGGCUGGGUCGUGGUUUCAUGAACGAGUUGGUUUAAGACACCAAUUUUGGUUUAGUGCAUGAGAGGAGAACAAGGUUUAUAGGAGUAGGAUCCAGUCUUAUUUUACCAGUAUUAUCUAACAUGUUUGUCCAUUUGGUUAGAUCUGAUCAGAUUAGAUGGGAUCAGAAUUAAAUUGAUGUAUUCAGAUUAGGCUAGAUAAGAUCUACUAGAUUUAUUUUGGAGUAGAUCAUGUUUGUUACACUAUUAUGAGAUAAGCAAAGUGGUGAGGAUAAGUAUGCUUAUUAGAACAAGAUGAGUCUCUAAGAACAAAAUAGAAUCUUUUGGUACUGGUUAGAUCGAUUGGGAUAAGAUGAGAAUCCUUUCGAGAAGAGAUGAGUCUAAUAAAGUAAGAGAGUAUCUUUUAAGAUAGGAUGGAUCAUUUUAAGAUAAGAGAGAGUCUUUUAAGAUAAGAGGGAUCUCUAUGAAAUAGAUACAUUUUAAUGGAGGAUAAUCUAAGUUGUUUAGUUAUCUUAUAAAUUCUAUUUCAUUUAUAUUAAUGCUUAUACGUAUAUGUAGAUGUAAUUGUGGACAUUCCUCCACAACUCAUCACACUCAAUCAAAGAUCCAAAUCAGGCAAGUAUCAUAAGAACAAACAUUCAAGCAUACAAAUACCUAUAAAAAUAGUUUUGUUUUUGUUCCUAAGAGUAGGUCUCCUAUUCCUAAAGUCACUUUAGGCACAGGAUUUCAAAGUGUGAAAUCCACAUUUGUCUUUAGAAUGAAAAGGUAAGAAUAAUCAGAGUAAAGCGGAAAUAGAUGAGAAAAGAUUAAGAAAAGUUUAGAAAAGAAUCAGAGUAGCAAGGGUAAGUAAGUAUUGGUUGUCCAGUUCUAUCUAGGUUUCGUCCUACAGUCAACAUUCCUCUGAUACCACUUCUGUCACACCCGGGUUUUAGGGGUCCAAAGCCCGGGCGCGAACAUAAUCACCAGGUGUGCUGGGACCAAGUCUCACACAUAUGAUGAAUCAUGGCACAAGAUCGAAUGUCACAUCUGUACUAUAUAAUCGGAGUUCUGUACAAAAUAAAUAAAUAAUUACAUUAUAUGGAGACAACGGUCCAGCAACCCGAAGUUGACCGGGAGACGACGACCUAGACCUCUCACGAACUCGUCACAGCAUCCUUCAUGCGCCUCAUCCUGUGGUACCUGUUCUUGACCUGUGGGGGGGUGUGAGACAGCAAGAGUGAGCUCACAUACGUUCAUCGCUCAACAAGUUAUGGGGAAUAAUGUGCAUGAACUCGCCAAAGGUGGGAGCUCAUGUGAAGUGUAAGGCUUACCAAAGAGGAUGGUUGAAGCUGAGCAUUGCUUUUAAAGUUGGUCAAAAUUUUAUUAGCAAUUACUAAGUAUAAGUAAAUACCAAACCCAGUUAAGUAGUAGAACAAAAGUAAUAACAUCACCUGCGAUGCAAUGCAUAUGACAAAUUGAGUUUAAGUUCCAUAAUUUAAUCAUGUGAGUGUCCGAGCUGCUCAUGACCGUGAGCACGGCUAGUAUACCAGUUUUACACUCUGCAGAGGUUGCGCAUCUUUACCCACAAGUCAUGUUACCCAUCUGCCAAGGGAUCGCGACUUCCCAUACACCUCUACCGAGGAGGCGAGGCAGGGUAACACUACGAGGCCUUUACAAAGUUCCACUAGCUUCAGAAAACCCGCUACAGUUUAUAGGAAGCUCCAAUGCAGGAAUCCCUUGCAGGACCGCCAUCGCAGCAAAAUCCUCCCGAGGGCCUCCCUACACUGACCACUCCCCUACUGCCCUUGCCCCUUUCGGGUAAGGUAGUCUUCCACUAGCUUUCCUAAUUAAUCGGCCAAGGGCGUCCCAUUAAACCCUUGUGGUAGCACUGUUUUCCCGGGUGGUUCUCCAUGUUCCAAUUAACAUAAUGAUCUUAACAUGAACAAUAAAUAACAACUGAUAACAAAAGUAUAAUCAUGAGUAAUGUAUCUACAUACCCAAAACCACAUAAAGCACUAGCAAGUACUACCCAAAAAGUUCAGUGGUAACAAGGUAUAAAGAUAAUCAAACUAGGGUAACCUAUUGGGUCCCAUCAAAAUUAACCUAUGCAGAUCAUUAUGAUUAAUUAGAACAUGAGUGGGUAAAAAGAAGUGAUCAAGGGCACAACUUGCCUGGGACUUGAGAUUCCAGGUACCAGGAUGAUCUUCAGAUGACACGUCCUCCCCGCUAAACGUAGCAAUACAGACAUACAUGGUAUAGGCAAAAUUAACAUCACACCAAACAUAAGAACAAGAUACAUAAUAAUAAUCUACGCGUCGUUACGAGAUCGUGGGUUCGAGAACCGCUAAAUUCGGAACUACGGUUAUUAAGUUAUGAAUUUCCAAAAUUAUUUAGUGCUUAGAAUAGUUUAAUCCAAUUGAACAAUUUUAAUUCAAGUUUUGUGGCUAAACAAAGGUACUAGGUAAUAAAUAAUACUUAAACAAAAUUAAUGCCACUGGAAUGAAUCAAUUUGGAGCUAAAUUCACCAAGUUAUGAAUUUCUUAAGUUUGGGACAUUAUUUUGCAUUAAAAAGAAUUUCUGUAUUAAAUUUAAUAAAUUUCUGAGUUACUUGGACUGCGACCACUAUUUAAUAGAAACCCAGGGGGUUCUGCGUAAAAGACACCAAGACUCAGAACUCCCGUAGUGUGGACUGCGGGUUGUUUUCUGUAAAUCCUAGGGGUUCUUUAGCAAGAUUGACUCGGCUGAAGGGCUAUGGGCGAUUCUCGACCGUUGGAUCACCAGCCGAGGGCUCAGAUUAGAUCACUACAUCAACCGAAGCGGUAUGCAUCGUCAGCCGCUGAAUCCUAUAUCUACGGCUCGGAUUUUAUUACCCUAGAUCCAAUCCUGUCCGUUGAAACUAGAUCAAUGGACCAGAUUGAAUCAACGCGAAAGGGUACACGGGGACUAAUCCCAGCCGUCCACCAACAAAUUAACGGCCGAUGGCCCUUCUUCCCCACCCGAACACCCAGCCGCGAUGGCAGGCCCUCCCCGCGGUGGAGCUCACCCGCGAGCUGAAAUUCCACCAUCAUCGGGCACUAAACCAAAAUCAAACUGGUGCUACGCGAUUAGGGGUGAAUGCAGAACAUCCAGGAAGGCGAAUUACCUUCGGGGGUGAGGCAGGGACCCAGGCCCACGGCGCACCGCAGCUCCGCCGUGGAUCUUGGACCCGACGAGAAAUUGGACGCCGAUGCUCCCUGGAAUUCCCCUCGAAGGCUCACUGGUCGCAAGCGUUUGCCCCGGUGGACCUCGCAGACCCCACGACCGAGCAACGAGGGCGCACACUGUGAAUUUGGAUUGCGGCGGCUGUCCACGGCUGCAAGCUUCUCACCCACUCGCUGAACUCCACUACUCUGUCUAUGCUAGGGCUAUACGAUGGCGGCGCCGAGGGGGUCGAUUGAGGGACGAGGCAUCGUCGGGUUAUAUACCCAGGUGAAUUCGGUCAGCGGCCGUACCGCGGAGUUCGGCAUGACCGCCCAAGCCGCGUCGUUCGGAGGUUGUUGAUGACCCCGCGCGCUCGCUGGCUGACAUCUUGGACCCACGCGACAGUGGACGGAAGAAAAGGACGAGCGCGAGACUGUGGCUGAUGCGUGGGCCCAUAAAGACAGUGGCAGUGAGGGCGAGCGCGACCUGGAGUGGGUUGGCUGACGCGGAGGGCCCGCGUGUCAGUGGAUCGUCCGGCGCGUGGGGGGGGGGGGGCUGAAAUGGCUAGUUGGGCCAGAAUGGUGUUGUUUGGCCCAAUAGCACAGUUUUGUUUUAUCCUUUUCUUUUCCAUUUCUUUUUCUCCAUUUUCAAAUUCAAUUUGAAUUCAAGUUUCAAAUCAAACUUAGGCCAAAUUUAUUUCCAAAUCAUAUUGUGAAAUUAAAAUACAAGUUUUUAGAGAUAUACUUAUAUUAUUUAUAUUUUUUUUAUAUCAUUUCUCUUCUUCUCAUUUUCAAAAAACCUAGGUUUAAUUUAGGGCUUAAUUCAACUUCUAGCAAUUAUUAUCUUAUUACCAUUAACAUUAUUAUUUUAUUUAAUGCACAAACAUAUAAACUCCAACAUGAUGCAUUUUUUUGUUAUUUGUUUGAAUUAAACUCUAAAUUUUUGUGUAUGCUCUUUUUAUGAUGCAAAUGAGGCACAUCAAAUAAGGAAAACACUAUAUAUUCCUCGUACACAACAAUUUUGAGUAUUACAUCCCCGUAUCCCGAGUGGCUCAUAUCGGAC